GGGGGGGGGUUAUUUGUAAACAGUUAUAUUCCAUCAGAAAAAUGCGCGCGCGGGGCUCGGCAACAGUUACCGUGCUGCAUGUUGGGAAAUCCGUAAUUUUGUUCGUCGUCACACGUUUCUAGGGAAAGCCAGCGGCAGGUAGGAUGUAAGGCGGUAUUUGGAGGCGGAUGACGCAUCCUGCCUUCACCUUUAGGGUUGAAUUAGAGGCUAAUGUCAUGAGUCGGUGGUACUCACGCGCUGCCAGAGCCAUCGGUGGUCCUCCCGGUCUCCUUCUGUCCCCGGAGCGAGACUUGUGGAGAGGAGGCACGACUCCACGCCUCGUGGGCGGGACACGACGAAAAUGUCAGCGUCUGCGAUCGAAUGAGACCCUUCCUCCUUUGGAUCCACAUGAACAGGAAUUUUCUCCGCACUGAGCUGGGUUCAUCACAGACUCACUCUGUCAGACGGGCGGCUGCUGGUGAGACUUCAAGCAAACAACUUCAAUUCACUGAAGAAACAACUGCAUGUAUUUAGAUCCACAUUAUAUAUCAUGCAUGACAUCAAAAAUAGCAUUUCUCACAUAAUUUGUUUCAUAGACAUACAGAUAAAUCCAAUUUUAGAUGUUUUACAGGCACAAAAUCACAACUGCUGCUCUGGGAAAGUGAAUCCAGAUGAAGUAAAAAAAAAAACACAUACUUGUAUAUAUAUAAAUAAAAAUAAAUUUUAUAUGAAGAGUUACGGUGUUUUUCAUUUUGUAGUGAGUAUGUAAAUUAAAUAACCCAAUAAAACCUUUGUUUUUUGUUUCCAGAAAACUAACUGCUUAGGUUUGGCUUGACAGUAAUAGAUUAUCAAUGCUCAAAGGCUUUCAACAUACAUAAAAAAAAAACAUGGCCGACAUACUUUUAAGCCUCAGUGAUGCAAAGACAGUUUGGGGAUAAAUUGGAGAUUCAUGGAUGGACGUCCAUAUCACUGUCACACGAGCUAACACAGCAGCAACAGAAACACAGCUAGUUAAGGCUCUUCACACUGGACCGUACAGGAUGACGAGUGCGGUUUCAGCAAGACACACGUUACAGCAGUAACUUAUUUUUACAGCACAGUACUUUAAUUACAUAAGAAACACUGUAACCUUGCUGCUCUGUUUUUUUUUUCUUUCAAAUUUUUUUUUUUUUUUCAAAAAAA